rnacentral:rRNA from 1 species
CAGCAGCCGCGGGAAUACGAAGGGUGCAAGCGUUAAUCGGAAUUACUGGGCGUAAAGCGUGCGUAGGCGGUGAGUUAAGUCUGCUGUGAAAUCCCCGGGCUCAACCUGGGAAUGGCAGUGGAUACUGGCUCGCUAGAGUGUGUCAGAGGAUGGUGGAAUUCCCGGUGUAGCGGUGAAAUGCGUAGAGAUCGGGAGGAACAUCAGUGGCGAAGGCGGCCAUCUGGGACAACACUGACGCUGAGGCACGAAAGCGUGGGGAGCAAACAGGAUUAGAUACCCCCGUAGUCCCUGUCCUUAUACA